AAAAUCCAGAAUCUGCAACCUCGAAAGAAGUUGUAAAGCCAUCGUAUGCAUCGAUUUUUCAUGCAAAUCAGAAUGCUUCGUCAAAGAUCGAGCUUUGUGCAGUCAACUUCGAUUCCGAGCAUCCUGUGAUCCAAUUCACAAUGGAAGAUAUUAACAUUUUCACCAGAGAAGAAGGUUUGCAUCAAGCAAUUGUCAUAAAAUUUUCAUAUGGCAAACCU
rnacentral:lncRNA from 1 species